rnacentral:rRNA from 1 species
CACUCCUGCGGGAGGCAGCAGUGGGGAAUAUUGCACAAUGGGCGCAAGCCUGAUGCAGCCAUGCCGCGUAUAUGAAGAAGGCCUUCGGGUUGUAAAGUACUUUCAGCGGGGAGGAAGGCGAUAAGGUUAAUAACCUUGUCGAUUGACGUUACCCGCAGAAGAAGCACCGGCUAACUCCGUUCCAGCAGCCGCGGUAAUACGGAGGGUGCAAGCGUUAAUCGGAAUUACUGGGCGUAAAGCGCACGCAGGCGGUCUGUCAAGUCGGAUGUGAAAUCCCCAGGCUCAACCUGGGAACUGCAUUCGAAACUGGCAGGCUAGAGUCUUGUAGAGGGGGGUAGAAUUCCAGGUGUAGCGGUGAAAUGCGUAGAGAUCUGGAGGAAUACCGGUGGCGAAGGCGGCCCCCUGGACAAAGACUGACGCUCAGGUGCGAAAGCGUGGGGAGCAAACAGGAUUAGAUACCCGAGUAGUCCCAUGA